rnacentral:rRNA from 1 species
GAUGAACGCUAGCUACAGGCUUAACACAUGCAAGUCGAGGGGAAGCGGCAUCGAAAGCUUGCUUUUGAUGGGCGUCGACCGGCGCACGGGUGAGUAACGCGUAUCCAACCUGCCCAUCACUUGGGAAUAACCUUGCGAAAGUAAGACUAAUGCCCAAUGACAUCCCACGAAGGCAUCCGAAUGGGAUUAAAGAUUUAUCGGUGAUGGAUGGGGAUGCGUCUGAUUAGCUUGUUGGCGGGGUGACGGCCCACCAAGGCAACGAUCAGUAGGGGUUCUGAGAGGAAGGUCCCCCACAUUGGAACUGAGACACGGUCCAAACUCCUACGGGAGGCAGCAGUGAGGAAUAUUGGUCGAUGGGCGAGAGCCUGAACCAGCCAAGUAGCGUGCAGGAUGACGGCCCUGUGGGUUGUAAACUGCUUUUAUAAGGGAAUAAAGUGGGUCACGUGUGACUUUUUGCAUGUACCUUAUGAAUAAGGACCGGCUAAUUCCGUG